GAAAGGCCUGAUCGAUAAUCGCCCUUGUUGAUUUGAAGAGGCGACCAGCCUUUGGCUGAAGAAUGGAUAAUGGAAUUUCGAGUAGAGAUGGAUGCAGAGAUCGGUGAUUGGUGAAUUCGAAUUCGAGUAGAAGGGGUAGAAUGUGGUGAACUGGGUAUUGUUGACAUGUUUGUAAGCGUGCUGUGCAGGUGUAAGCUUGAUUCCAGUGUUGCCAAGUCGAUGACAUACUGUUCGUAGGCGCAGUAUACGAGAAAGUACUUGCAGUGUAUGCCUUUCUAGCCACCCGAUAACCUUGAGGAGGUAUUAUUUGGGCAGGGAUUAUAUAAGCAUUGGAAGAUAGGGAGAUGAAAGAAGAGUGUGAGGAAUAGACGAACGCCUAUAAUUGUUUGUUUACGUCUUUUGCGACGAAGUCAAACGCGACCCACAACCCUCCACGUGGCCAGAUCUCCGGCCAACCCCGAAUGUGGCACUUGCUCCGCCUCUGUCUUGUGCUUGCUUGUGUUUUGCAUCUUCUGCUGCCUCUGGAGCUUAAUGAAGGAAAGCAAGAUUGUUUCAGAUAAGAAGGUCCAGCUGGACCAACUGAACCUCCAGCUGGGCAUCAAGGGGUAUAAAUAGAUUUCUGUAGAAGUAUAUAAAGGGGAGUCCUGUCCUCGAUCUUGAUCUUCUUCCCCUCGAAGAUCAAUAUUUCAUAAGUUGCUUUGCGAAAGGUCCUCGAGCUCCCAGUGCUCGCUCUCAUCUUACCUUGCACCACCUUCGACAUAAACUUACUCCACCAGUAUAUAAGCUUGCCUGAUCUUCCCAAGCGAAUAUACCUCCGUCCUAUACCAUACGCCAACAGACAAGUGUCAAGAGGUAUAUCAUACAUAUAUCUCAUUGCUUAGUUAAACUACGGCUUUCUAUCUCGUCUCCAAGGCCGGACCUUGUUGGGGACGAGUCGUAACAAAAACCGUAUGACAGGAAUCAUGAGUAUGACAAGGUGCAUCACGACACUCACUGUCUCAAUUUCACCAAAGACAGGGCUAUUUUAUGGGAGCUAGCUGCCGGUCAAAGGGCCAAUCAAAUGAUAUGGUCUGAUGAUCGACUCUUCAGGAUGCAAGCCAAGAUAAUGUUCUGCUAUGAUGGUAAAAUUACGUCCAAAUUACUGUCCUUGGAUGAAGACAAGCAAGCGGCUGCCAGCAUACCAUGAUUUUAUUUGCUAUACAUAGACGCAACCAUCAUCGGUAUCACUAUCGUUGACAAUCGUGCCCCAGCCAUAUCUACACCUACACUUUUCUCCCUAAACACGGCUGGAGCUCAGUAGUUCAGUAAUUCAAAUCUAUCGUCGAUCUCCACCAUAGAACCAGCUCCCAACACCAUACCUGAUGCCGAAAGCCAUUGCGCUCCCCAAGAUCUGCACUCCAGCUACAAGCGCACACAAUGUUUGUUCUCGCAUAGGCCCGAAAUGGACUAAGAGAAAAUUGAGAAUGGUGAGAUUUGUGGACGAUUUGAUGUGGAUUUGUUGGUAUUCUUUUGAUGGUUUACUACGUUCCAAGCGAACUAGGCGGAGACAUUCUAGUAUUUUGAGAGAUAUUCUUGUCUUUGUUGGGGGUGGAUUCUCAAAGAUUACUCGCGAGGGAUGCAAG
rnacentral:sRNA from 1 species